GAUGAACGCUGGCGGCGUGCCUAAUACAUGCAAGUCGAGCGAACAGACGAGGAGCUUGCUCCUCUGACGUUAGCGGCGGACGGGUGAGUAACACGUGGAUAACCUACCUAUAAGACUGGGAUAACUUCGGGAAACCGGAGCUAAUACCGGAUAAUAUAUUGAACCGCAUGGUUCAAUAGUGAAAGACGGUUUUGCUGUCACUUAUAGAUGGAUCCGCGCCGCAUUAGCUAGUUGGUAAGGUAACGGCUUACCAAGGCAACGAUGCGUAGCCGACCUGAGAGGGUGAUCGGCCACACUGGAACUGAGACACGGUCCAGACUCCUACGGGAGGCAGCAGUAGGGAAUCUUCCGCAAAGGGCGAAAGCCUGACGGAGCAACGCCGCGUGAGUGAUGAAGGUCUUCGGAUCGUAAAACUCUGUUAUUAGGGAAGAACAAGUGUGUAAGUAACUAUGCACGUCUUGACGGUACCUAAUCAGAAAGCCACGGCUAACUACGUG
rnacentral:rRNA from 1 species